UACGUAGGGUGCGAGCGUUGUCCGGAAUUAUUGGGCGUAAAGAGCUCGUAGGCGGUCUGUCGCGUCGAAUGUGAAAACCCGGGGCUCAACUCCGGGCUUGCAUUCGAUACGGGCAGGCUAGAGUUCGGUAGGGGAGUCUGGAAUUCCUGGUGUAGCGGUGAAAUGCGCAGAUAUCAGGAGGAACACCGGUGGCGAAGGCGGGACUCUGGGCCGAUACUGACGCUGAGGCGCGAAAGCGUGGGGAGCAAACGGG
rnacentral:rRNA from 1 species